CGGGUGAGUAAUGCAUCGGAACGUGCCCAGUCGUGGGGGAUAACUGCUCGAAAGAGCAGCUAAUACCGCAUACGACCUGAGGGUGAAAGCGGGGGACCGUAAGGCCUCGCGCGAUUGGAGCGGCCGAUGUCAGAUUAGCUAGUUGGUGGGGUAAAGGCCUACCAAGGCAACGAUCUGUAGUUGGUCUGAGAGGACGACCAGCCACACUGGGACUGAGACACGGCCCAGACUCCUACGGGAGGCAGCAGUGGGGAAUUUUGGACAAUGGGCGCAAGCCUGAUCCAGCAAUGCCGCGUGCAGGAAGAAGGCCUUCGGGUUGUAAACUGCUUUUGUCAGGGAAGAAAUCUUCUGGGCUAAUACCCCGGGAGGAUGACGGUACCUGAAGAAUAAGCACCGGCUAACUACGUGCCAGCAGCCGCGGUAAUACGUAGGGUGCGAGCGUUAAUCGGAAUUACUGGGCGUAAAGCGUGCGCAGGCGGUUAUGUAAGA
rnacentral:rRNA from 1 species